AGUGACCGAUAGUGAAGCAGUACCGUGAGGGAAAGGUGAAAAGAACCCCGGAAGGGGAGUGAAAUAGAACCUGAAACCGUGUGCCUACAACCGAUCGGAGCACGUUAAAGUGUGACGAUGUGCUUUUGUAGAACGAGCCAGCGAGUUACGCUAUGUAGCAAGGUUAAGUACUUAAGGUAUGGAGCCGAAGGGAAACCGAGUCUGAAAAGGGCGAAAGUUGCAUAGUGUAGACCCGAAACCGGGUGACCUAUCCAUGGCCAGGUUGAAGCGAGAGUAAAAUCUCGUGGAGGACCGAACCACGUUGGUGUUGAAAAACCAUGGGAUGAGCUGUGGAUAGCGGAGAAAUUCCAAUCGAACUCGGAGAUAGCUGGUUCUCCUCGAAAUAGCUUUAGGGCUAGCGUCGUGUAAUUGAGUAAUGGAGGUAGAGCACUGAAUGGGCUAGGGGCUAUAGUAGUUACCGAACCCUAUCAAACUCCGAAUGCCAUAUACUUGUAUCACGGCAGUCAGACUGCGAAUGAUAAGAUCCGUAGUCAAAAGGGAAACAGCCCAGACCAUCAGCUAAGGUCCCAAAGUGUAAGUUAAGUGGAAAAGGAUGUGGGAUU
rnacentral:rRNA from 1 species